UACGGGGGGUGCGAGCGUUAAUCGGAAUAACUGGGCGUAAAGGGCACGCAGGCGGACUUUUAAGUGAGGUGUUAAAUCCCCGGGCUUAACCUUGGAAUUGCAUUUCAUACUGGGAGUCUAGAGUACUUUAGGGAGGGGUAGAAUUCCACGUGUAGCGGUGAAAUGCGUAGAGAUGUGGAGGAAUACCGAAGGCGAAGGCAGCUGCUUGGGAAUCUACUGACGCUCAUGUGCGGAAGCGUGGGGAGCAAACAGG
rnacentral:rRNA from 1 species